rnacentral:rRNA from 1 species
AGUGAACGCUGGCGGUAGGCCUAACACAUGCAAGUCGAACGGCAGCACAGGAGAGCUUGCUCUCUGGGUGGCGAGUGGCGGACGGGUGAGGAAUACAUCGGAAUCUACUCUGUCGUGGGGGAUAACGUAGGGAGACUUACGCUAAUACCGCAUACGACCUACGGGUGAAAGCAGGGGACCUUCCGGCCUUGCGCUAUUGAAUGAGCCGAUGUCGGAUUAGCUAGUUGGCGGGGUAAAGGCCCACCAAGGCGACGAUCCGUAGCUGGUCUGAGAGGAUGAUCAGCCACACUGGAACUGAGACACGGUCCAGACUCCUACGGGAGGCAGCAGUGGGGAAUAUUGGACAAUGGGCGCAAGCCUGAUCCAGCCAUACCGCGUGGGUGAAGAAGGCCUUCGGGUUGUAAAGCCCUUUUGUUGGGAAAGAAAUCCAGCUGGCUAAUACCCGGUUGGGAUGACGGUACCCAAAGAAUAAGCACCGGCUAACUUCGUGCCAGCCGCCGCUGUAA